GACGAACGCUGGCGGCGUGCUUAACACAUGCAAGUCGAACGCUGAAGCUCAGCUUUUGUUGGGUGGAUGAGUGGCGAACGGGUGAGUAACACGUGAGUAACCUGCCCCCUUCUUUGGGAUAACGCCCGGAAACGGGUGCUAAUACUGGAUAUUCACUGGUCUUCGCAUGGGGGUUGGUGGAAAGGGUUUUUCUGGUGGGGGAUGGGCUCGCGGCCUAUCAGCUUGUUGGUGGGGUGAUGGCCUACCAAGGCUUUGACGGGUAGCCGGCCUGAGAGGGUGACCGGUCACAUUGGGACGGAGAUACGGCCCAGGCUCCUACGGGGGGCGGCAGUGGGGAAUAUUGGACAAUGGGCGCAAGCCUGAUGCAGCGACGGCGCGUGAGGGAUGGAGGCCUUCGGGUUGUGAAACUCUUUCGCUCAUGGUCAAGCCGCAACAAUGGUUGUGGUGAGGGUAGUGGGUAAAGAAGCGCCGGCUAACUACGUG
rnacentral:rRNA from 1 species